rnacentral:rRNA from 1 species
CCAAUAGCGUAUAUUAAAGUUGUUGCAGUUAAAAAGCUCGUAGUUGAAUUUCGGGGUUAGUAGGUUGGUCAUGCCUCUGGUAUGUACUGGUCUCACUGAUUCCUCCUUCCGGAUGAGCCGUAAUGCCAUUAAUUUGGUGUUGCGGGGAAUUUGGACUGUUACUUUGAAAAAAUUAGAGUGUUUAAAGCAAGCUAACGCUUGAAUACAUUAGCAUGGAAUAAUGAAAUAGGACGUUCGAUCCUAUUUUGUUGGUUUCUAGGAUUGACGUAAUGAUUAAUAGGGAUAGUUGGGGGCAUUAGUAUUCAAUUGUCAGAGGUGAAAUUCUUGGAUUUAUUGAAGACUAACUACUGCGAAAGCAUUUGCCAAGGAUGUUUUCAUUAAUCAAGAACGAAAGUUAGGGGAUCGAAGACGAUCAGAUACCGUCGUAGUCUUAACCAUAAACUAUGCCGACUAGGGAUCGGAUGAUGUUAAUUUUUUAAUGACUCAUUCGGCGUCUUACG